rnacentral:tRNA from 1 species
GCGUACUUAGCUCAAUGGUUAGAGCAUCCAUGAAUGCUGAGGCUGUGGGUUUGAGUCCCACAGUACACA